rnacentral:lncRNA from 12 species
GCCACAUUAAGCCACAAAGAUCAGUGGUCCCACUCUUCUGACACCUUCAGUGCCUUUCAGUGCUGUGGAACACAGAACCAGAGCCAAGAGCUUUCUACGAAGACCUGAAGCUACAUCCCAGGAUCCACCUCCCAGCUUUUUGUAACCACGCUCCCGG